GACGAACGCUGGCGGCGUGCUUAACACAUGCAAGUCGAACGGAAAGGCCCUGCUUUUGUGGGGUGCUCGAGUGGCGAACGGGUGAGUAACACGUGAGUAACCUGCCCUUGACUUUGGGAUAACUUCAGGAAACUGGGGCUAAUACCGGAUAGGAGCUCCUGCUGCAUGGUGGGGGUUGGAAAGUUUCGGCGGUUGGGGAUGGACUCGCGGCUUAUCAGCUUGUUGGUGGGGUAGUGGCUUACCAAGGCUUUGACGGGUAGCCGGCCUGAGGGGGUGACCGGCCACAUUGGGACUGAGAUACGGCCCAGACUCCUACGGGAGGCAGCAGUGGGGAAUAUUGCACAAUGGGCGGAAGCCUGAUGCAGCAACGCCGCGUGCGGGAUGACGGCCUUCGGGUUGUAAACCGCUUUCGCCUGUGACGAAGCGAGAGUGACGGUAAUGGGUAAAGAAGCACCGGCUAACUACGUG
rnacentral:rRNA from 1 species